UGUGGGGGCUGCAUUACCAUGCAGUCGACGGCAGCACGGGUGCUUGCACCUGGUGGCGAGUGGCGAACGGGUGAGUAAUACAUCGGAACAUGUCCUGUAGUGGGGGAUAGCCCGGCGAAAGCCGGAUUAAUACCGCAUACGAUCUCUGGAUGAAAGCGGGGGACCUUCGGGCCUCGCGCUAUAGGGUUGGCCGAUGGCUGAUUAGCUAGUUGGUGGGGUAAAGGCCUACCAAGGCGACGAUCAGUAGCUGGUCUGAGAGGACGACCAGCCACACUGGGACUGAGACACGGCCCAGACUCCUACGGGAGGCAGCAGUGGGGAAUUUUGGACAAUGGGCGAAAGCCUGAUCCAGCAAUGCCGCGUGUGUGAAGAAGGCCUUCGGGUUGUAAAGCACUUUUGUCCGGAAAGAAAUCCUUGGCCCUAAUACGGUCGGGGGAUGACGGUACCGGAAGAAUAAGCACCGGCUAACUACGUGCCAGCACC
rnacentral:rRNA from 1 species